rnacentral:rRNA from 1 species
AGCGAACGCUGGCGGCAGGCUUAACACAUGCAAGUCGAGCGGGCGUAGCAAUACGUCAGCGGCAGACGGGUGAGUAACGCGUGGGAACGUACCUUUUGGUUCGGAACAACACAGGGAAACCUGUGCUAAUACCGGAUAAGCCCUUACGGGGAAAGAUUUAUCGCCGAAAGAUCGGCCCGCGUCUGAUUAGCUAGUUGGUAGGGUAAUGGCCUACCAGGGCGACGAUCAGUAGCUGGUCUGAGAGGAUGAUCAGCCACAUUGGGACUGAGACACGGCCCAAACUCCUACGGGAGGCAGCAGUGGGGAAUAUUGGACAAUGGGGGCAACCUUGAUCCAGCCAUGCCGCGUGAGUGAUGAAGGCCCUAGGGUUGUAAAGCUCUUUUGUGCGAGAAGAUAAUGACGGUACCGCAAGAAUAAGCCCCGGCUAACUUCGUGCCAGCCGCCGCGGUAA